GAAAUGCGAUAAGUAAUGUGAAUUGCAGAAUUCAGUGAAUCAUCGAAUCUUUGAACGCACAUUGCGCCCCCUGGUAUUCCGGGGGGCAUGCCUGUUCGAGCGUCAUUUCACCACUCAAGCCUCGCUUGGUAUUGGGCGACGCGGUCCGCCGCGCGCCUCAAAUCGACCGGCUGGGUCUUCCGUCCCCUCAGCGUUGUGGAAACUAUUCGCUAAAGGGUGCCGCGGGAGGUCACGCCGCAAAACAACCCCAUUUCUAAGGUUGACCUCGGAUCAGGUAGGGAUACCCGCUGAACAUAAGCAU
rnacentral:misc_RNA from 1 species